GACGAACCGUGCGAACGUUGUUCGGAUUCACUGGGCUUAAAGGGCGCGUAGGCGGACUCGCCAGUCUGUGGUGAAAGCCCCAGCUUAACUGGGAAGUGCCGUGGAUACUGCGAGUCUGGAGGAGGGUAGGGGCAUCUGGAACGCUGGGUGGAGCGGUGAAAUGCGUUGAUAUCCAGCGGAACUCCGGUGGCGAAGGCGAGGUGCUGGACCCUUUCUGACGCUGAGGCGCGAAAGCCAGGGGAGCAAACGGG
rnacentral:rRNA from 1 species